rnacentral:rRNA from 1 species
GACGAACGCUGGCGGCGUGCUUAACACAUGCAAGUCGAACGGAAAGGCCCUGCUUUUGUGGGGUGCUCGAGUGGCGAACGGGUGAGUAACACGUGAGUAACCUGCCCUUGACUUUGGGAUAACUUCAGGAAACUGGGGCUCAUACCGGAUAGGAGCUCCUGCUGCAUGGUGGGGGUUGGAAAGUUUCGGCGGUUGGGGCUGGACUCGCGGCUUAUCAGCUUGUUGGUGGGGUAGUGGCUUACCAAGGCUUUGACGGGUAGCCGGCCUGAGAGGGUGACCGGCCACAUGGGGACUGAGAUACGGCCCAGACUCCUACGGGAGGCAGCAGUGGGGAAUAUUGCACAAUGGGCGGAAGCCUGAUGCAGCAACGCCGCGUGCGGGAUGACGGCCUUCGGGUUGUAAACCGCUUUCGCCUGUGACGAAGCGUGAGUGACGGUAAUGGGUAAAGAAGCACCGGCUAACUACGUG